rnacentral:rRNA from 1 species
AGUGAACGCUGGCGGUAGGCCUAACACAUGCAAGUCGAACGGCAGCACAGUAAGAGCUUGCUCUUACGGGUGGCGAGUGGCGGACGGGUGAGGAAUACAUCGGAAUCUACUUUUUCGUGGGGGAUAACGUAGGGAAACUUACGCUAAUACCGCAUACGACCUACGGGAGAAAGCAGGGGAUCUUCGGACCUUGCGCGAUUGAAUGAGCCGAUGUCGGAUUAGCUAGUUGGCGGGGUAAAGGCCCACCAAGGCGACGAUCCGUAGCUGGUCUGAGAGGAUGAUCAGCCACACUGGAACUGAGACACGGUCCAGACUCCUACGGGAGGCAGCAGUGGGGAAUAUUGGACAAUGGGCGCAAGCCUGAUCCAGCCAUACCGCGUGGGUGAAGAAGGCCUUCGGGUUGUAAAGCCCUUAUGUUGGGAAAGAAAAGCAGCAGGUUAAUACCCCGCUGUUCUGACGGUACCCAAAGAAUAAGCACCGGCUAACUUCGUG